rnacentral:lncRNA from 1 species
AAGCAAACGGACAGAGGUCUCUCCUUGUACUGCGGAGAUCAGCUGCACCUUGACAGCAUUAGUUAUCUUCCUAUUAAAUCAAACAGCAUAAUUCAUUUUUACGGGAAUAAAAGCAGCGGCACACUCCCGCCCUGUCAGGUGCGGUUACCUCGGUCACUUCACGCUCUGUCGGGGGGCGCAAGGACGAGGCGCCCGUCGGGGCCCGCAGCGCUGCGGAGCGAGCGCCCGUCCUCAGCCACAGGGCCACCGUGGGGGCCAAACGCGUGCAGUCCCGAGCGACACGUCGCUGCCCCGCCGUUCCCAGGUGCCGCCCGCCUCAGGCAGCGGGCACAAAGCGCUCCCCUUCCCCCGCUGCGCGCCCACAGCGCCGGCACCCGGAGGCGACCCGGGCACGCAGCAGCCCGCGGCCAACGCCGCCACCGAGGGCUCCCAGCGCCGCCGCCUGACAGGACGGCGUGCGGCACCGCCGCCCCACGGGGCCCAACAGGCGCCCGGCUCCGGACCGGCACGGCCGCUGGCCCCCUCGGAGCUGCGGCUUUAUCGCAGAAAGCGGGACCCGCCCCGGGACACGGGGAGCGACGUCCCCCCGCCCGCCGGACGCCGCCCGCAGCCCGUUCAGAAGCGGCCGCGCCGGCCGGCCCCGAUUCCGCCAAACUUCAGGAGCGGAGAACCGAGACGCGAGCGGAGCCCCGGACCCCUCCGCCUCCCCCAGGUCGCGCCGGCCCUGCCCGGCUACCACCUCCGGCGCCUCCCGCCCCCGCCAAGUUUCCCCGCCGUACCCGGCGGGUGCGAGGCGGUACCUGGGACAGGCGGCGGGCGAGGCGCAGCCCGGCGGUGCUGAAGGAUGCCCGGCGGGCGGAGACGGCCGGCCCCGCUGACAGCGCUUCCUCCUCCUCCUGCGCCCGCCCGCUGUGCUCCGGGGCCGCUCCUCCUCGGCGCCGCGGCAGGGAGGUGCCGGGCAGCGCCGCGCCGCCUCACGGCCCCGCCGCCCAGCAAAAAGUUUGUGCCGCGCGGCACGGGGGUGGUGGCACGGCGUGGGGAGGCGCCUCGUGGGGCCGGGAGCUCCGAGCCGAGCUCCUGUGCCUGGGGCCGCGGCCACUUCCUCUUCCUCCGAGCUGCCGGGCGAGCCCCGCGCCCUGCCGGAGCCGCGGCGAGCCAGGGGCAGCGCUUUCCGCCCCCGCGCCGAGCCCGCUGACAUGA